rnacentral:lncRNA from 1 species
AGGAACAAAGACAUUUAUUGAUUCCUUUACCUGGGAAGAGCCUGGAGAAGUUCAGUCAAAGGAAAGUGAUGGGAUCUAAGGCUUCAGGCAGCUGGGACCUGGCACUCCCUUUGACUGCCUUUUGUGUCCCAGCAUCACUAUGCAUGAAACAAAACAGGUUUCAAGCAAUUAUAAGACACAACAUAUAAAUCAAGACUUUAGAAUCUUUAUUAAUGCUGAAUUUUUUAUUCCA